rnacentral:rRNA from 1 species
UUGAGUUGACCGGUACUAAUAGGCCGAGGGCUUAACCACCCUAAAUUUUAUGCUUACGCGUCCACUGUGUGAUUCACAGCAAACGAACAACCACCUCGUUUGCCGGCCUUUUCGGCUGGCUUAUGGGUUGCUGGUUCUUCGCUACGCUGAAAGGUGUUUCGGUGGUCAUAGCGGAGGGGAAACGCCCGGUUACAUUCCGAACCCGGUAGCUAAGCCCUCCAGCGCCGAUGGUACUGCACUCGGGAGGGUGUGGGAGAGUAGGACGCCGCCGGAC